AUUGAACGCUGGCGGCAUGCCUUACACAUGCAAGUCGAACGGUAACAGGUCUUCGGAUGCUGACGAGUGGCGAACGGGUGAGUAAUACAUCGGAACGUGCCCGAUCGUGGGGGAUAACGAAACGAAAGCUUUGCUAAUACCGCAUAAGAUCUACGGAUGAAAGCAGGGGACCGCAAGGCCUUGCGCGAACGGAGCGGCCGAUGGCAGAUUAGGUAGUUGGUGGGAUAAAAGCUUACCAAGCCGACGAUCUGUAGCUGGUCUGAGAGGACGACCAGCCACACUGGGACUGAGACACGGCCCAGACUCCUACGGGAGGCAGCAGUGGGGAAUUUUGGACAAUGGGCGAAAGCCUGAUCCAGCCAUGCCGCGUGCAGGAUGAAGGCCUUCGGGUUGUAAACUGCUUUUGUACGGAACGAAAAGACUCUUUCUAUAAAGAGGGUCCAUGACGGUACCGUAAGAAUAAGCACCGGCUAACUACGUGCCAGCAGCCGCCGUAAAAC
rnacentral:rRNA from 1 species